GACGAACGCUGGCGGCGUGCUUAACACAUGCAAGUCGAACGGUAAGGCCCUUCGGGGUACACGAGUGGCGAACGGGUGAGUAACACGUGGGUGAUCUGCCCUGCACUUCGGGAUAAGCCUGGGAAACUGGGUCUAAUACCGGAUAGGACUCCUGGCUUCAUGGUUGGGGGUGGAAAGCUUUUGUGGUGUGGGAUGGGACCGCGGCCUAUCAGCUUGUUGGUGGGGUAAUGGCCUACCAAGGCGACGACGGGUAGCCGGCCUGAGAGGGUGACCGGUCACACUGGGACUGAGAUACGGCCCAGACUCCUACGGGAGGCAGCAGUGGGGAAUAUUGCACAAUGGGCGCAAGCCUGAUGCAGCGACGCCGCGUGAGGGAUGACGGCCUUCGGGUUGUAAACCUCUUUCAGCUAUGACGAAGCGCAAGUGACGGUAGUAGCAGAAGAAGGACCGGCCAACUACGUGCCAGCCGCCGCGGUAACAC
rnacentral:rRNA from 1 species